rnacentral:rRNA from 1 species
AAUAUUGGACAAUGGGGGGAACCCUGAUCCAGCCAUGCCGCGUGUGUGAAGAAGGUCCUCGGGUUGUAAAGCACUUUAAGUAGGGAGGAAGAGUUGCAGGCUAAUACCUUGCAAUAUUGACGUUACCACAAGAAUAAGCACCUGCUAACGUCGUACCAUCAGCCGAGGUAAUAAGAAGGGUGCAAGCGUUCAUCGGAAUUAGUGUGCGUAAAGCGAGCGUAGGUAGUUAGUUAAGCUAGAAGUGAAAGACCCGGGGUUAACCUAGGAAUUGCUUUCAAAACUGAUGAGCUGGAGGACGGGAGGAGAUAGUGGAAUUUCCUGUGUAGCAGUGAAAUGAGUAGAUAUAAGAAGGAACAUCAGUGGCUAAGGCGACUACCUGGACUGAUACUGACACUGAGGUGCGAAAGCGUGGGGAGCAAACAGG